UACAGAGGUCUCAAGCGUUGUUCGGAUUCAUUGGGCGUAAAGGGCGCGUAGGCUGCGGGGCAAGUCGGGUGUGAAAUCUCAGAGCUCAACUCUGAAACUGCACUCGAUACUGCUUUGCUUGAGGACUGGAGAGGAGAUUGGAAUUCACGGUGUAGCAGUGAAAUGCGUAGAUAUCGUGAGGAAGACCAGUGGCGAAGGCGGACCUCUGGACAGUUCCUGACGCUGAGGCGCGAAGGCCAGGGGAGCAAACGGG
rnacentral:rRNA from 1 species